ACCAGUGUGGUGCAGUGAUUUGAACAUUGGAUUAGGACUCUAGAGACCAGGGUUUGAAUCCCAGCUCCGCCG